GGGGGUGUCCCAGAUGCAGUCGUUGGCAACGGGUCAUGGCUGUAUGAAGCGAAGAGGAGGCGUUGCGGACGCGGGUUCGAUUCCCGCCAGCUCCACCA
rnacentral:tRNA from 1 species